CCGGUUUCGCCUCCUCCUCCUCCCCCGGCAACUCAGAACAACAACGAGGAGCGGCGUUUCAAGGAGCCUUCCAAGUCUGGCCGGCGCGAAUACGAGCAUUCCAAUCACGGCAUUGCUCACAAACAGCACAAGCAGCAGCAGCCUCCCCUUCCGGUGAAGAAGAUGAACAACGGGCCUCCCGGCAGGGCUGAGACCGAUGAAGAGAAGAGGUUGAGGAAGAAAAGGGAAUUUGAGAAGCAGAGGCAGGAGGAAAAGCAUAGGCAGCAGCUGAAGGAGUCCCAGAAUACUGUUCUGCAGAAGACUCACCUGUUGUCAUCUGGGAAGGGGCAUGGCAUGAUUG
rnacentral:misc_RNA from 1 species